GUUAGAGGCAGAGCUUGUUAGAGGCAGAGGAUUUCUGCUAGUAGUGUUGGACUCCUUGCUGAAAACAGGGUCUCGCUAUGUUGUCCAGGCUGGAGUGCAGUGGCAGUUCACAGAUGGGAUCAUGAUGCACUACAGUCUUGAACUCCUGGGCUCAAGGGAUCCUCCUGCCUCAGCCUGUGUGAAGGUCCCAAGGUGGGGCGUGCCUGGCACGGUAAAGGUCCAGCGAGAAUCUCUGCAUGAGUGAAAGGAAGAAGAGGGUAAAAGGCCAGAGAAGUGAGUGGGGUGGGACCUCCAGGGCCUACUU
rnacentral:lncRNA from 1 species